rnacentral:snoRNA from 1 species
AAACCAUGAUUGGGACAUUUUCUCAGCAGCACUUGGAAGCGCUCCCAAGAUUCAUAAAAGGCUUCAUCGGCACCUUGUCGGAAUGUUGAUAUUUCGAACUUUGCAU